CGACCAGACUCCUACGGGAGGCAGCAGUGGGGAAUAUUGCGCAAUGGGGGAAACCCUGACGCAGCAACGCCGCGUGAGUGAAGACGUAUCUCGGUAUGUAAAGCUCUAUCAGCGGGGAAGAAGGAAGACGGUACCCGACUAAGAAGCCCCGGCUAACUACGUGCCAGCAGCCGCGGUAAUACGUGUGGAGCAAGCGUUAUCCGGAUUUACUGGGUGUAAAGGGAGCGUAGGCGGCCUGCCAAGUCUGAUGUGAAAUACCGGGGCUCAACCCCGGGGCUGCAUUGGAAACUGGCAGGCUGGAGUGUCGGAGAGGCAGGCGGAAUUCCUAGUGUAGCGGUGAAAUGCGUAGAUAUUAGGAGGAACACCAGUGGCGAAGGCGGCCUGCUGGACGAUGACUGACGCUGAGGCUCGAAAGCGUGGGGAGCAAACAGGAUUAGAUACCCCCGUAC
rnacentral:rRNA from 1 species